CCAAUAGCGUAUAUUAAAGUUGUUGCAGUUAAAAAGCUCGUAGUUGAAUUUCGGGAUCAAUUUGCUGGUCGUGCCUCUGGUACGUACUGGUAUUAUUGGUUUCUCCCUUCUGACGAACCAUGAUGUCAUUAAUUUGAUGUCGUGGAGAAUCAGGACUGUUACUUUGAAAAAAUUAGAGUGUUUAAAGCAGGCAUUAGCUUGAAUACAUUAGCAUGGAAUAAUGAAAUAGGACGUUUGAUCCUAUUUUGUUGGUUUCUAGGAUUGACGUAAUGAUUAAUAGGGAUAAUUGGGGGCAUUAGUAUUCAAUUGUCAGAGGUGAAAUUCUUGGAUUUAUUGAAGACUAACUACUGCGAAAGCAUUUGCCAAGGAUGUUUUCAUUAAUCAAGAACGAAAGUUAGGGGAUCGAAGACGAUCAGAUACCGUCGUAGUCUUAACCAUAAACUAUGCCGACUAGGGAUCGGAUGAUGUUAAUUUUUUAAUGACUCAUUCGGCGCCUUACG
rnacentral:rRNA from 1 species